GAUGAACGCUGGCGGCGUGCCUAAUACAUGCCAGUCGAGCGAACAGAUGAGGAGCUUGCUCCUCUGACGUUAGCGGCGGACGGGUGAGUAACACGUGGAUAACCUACCUAUAAGACUGGGAUAACUUCGGGAAACCGGAGCUAAUACCGGAUAAUAUAUUGAACCGCAUGGUUCAAUAGUGAAAGACGGUUUUGCUGUCACUUAUAGAUGGAUCCGCGCCGCAUUAGCUAGUUGGUAAGGUAACGGCUUACCAAGGCAACGAUGCGUAGCCGACCUGAGAGGGUGAUCCGCCACACUGGAACUGAGACACGGUCCAGACUCCUACGGGAGGCAGCAGUAGGGAAUCUUCCGCAAUGGGCGAAAGCCUGACGGAGCAACGCCGCGUGAGUGAUGAAGGUCUUCGGAUCGUAAAACUCUGUUAUUAGGGAAGAACAAAUGUGUAAGUAACUAUGCACGUCUUGACGGUACCUAAUCAGAAAGCCACGGCUAACUACGUG
rnacentral:rRNA from 1 species